CGCGGUAACACUAUGGCUCCUCCUUGCAGGAGCUUGUUUAUGCCAGAGACUGACCUUAUCUCGAUGCCCAUUGUGUGAAAUGCAGAUGGAGAAUUAAAGAAAAAUAUCUGAUGCCAACUUGAGCUCCUUGUCAUUCAUUGCAACACCAAGAGAAGGCACCAGUUCCACAUAAGCCACACGUGCUUCUGGGACCACAAAGUUUCUCUGGCCGUUAGGUUUAGCUCCCAUCAGGUUUCAGGGCAGAACUAUGAAGAGCUUAAAAGAACUGUAAAUUUGUGUGUUAGUUCAAUUAAAGUCACCAAAAACUGUUUUCCAUUUACCUGAAACAGGAUUCAGGUUUCAUUACGUGAGGUUAAAACAUGGCUUCAGACUGGAACCUGUCAUAAUAAUGCAUUUCAAAAACAGCUGGGAACAAUAGUUUAGCAGCAAUAAUAAUGUUCAACCAAAUUCAGCAUUCUACAUUUACAUGACUAAAUGUUUUUAUUAAAUAUUGUAGUUAAAUUUUAUUCUGUAGCCAAGAGUAUGAUUCAUGUUGAUGAGGAAAUAAAAACUUUCUGAAUCAG